UUUGGUGAUGAUGGCAGAGAGGUCACACCCGUUCCCAUACCGAACACGGAAGUUAAGCUCUCUAGCGCUGAUGGUAGUUGGGACCUUGUCCCUGUGAGAGUAGGACGUCGCCAAGC
rnacentral:rRNA from 4 species